AUUCCAGCUCCAGUAGCGUAUAUUAAAGUUGUUGCAGUUAAAAAGCUCGUAGUUGGAUUUCUGGCCUGACGAAACUGACCCGCCGCGGUUACGUGUGUGAGUGUCGGGCUUCGUCUGCCAUCCUUCCAGAAAACGUUUCUACCCUUCACUGGGCUGGAUUCGCGAUCUGGAACUUUUACUUUGAAGAAAUUAGAGUGUUCAAAGCAGGCUUGCGCUGUGAAUACAUUAGCAUGGAAUAAUAAUUUAGGACUCAGGUCUUAUUUUGUUGGUUCUUAAGAUCUAAGUAUUAAUUGAUAGGGAUAGUUGGGGGUGCUAGUAUUCAGCGGCCAGAGGUGAAAUUCUUGGAUUCGCUGAAGACUAACUUAUGCGAAAGCAUUCACCAAGGAUGUCUUCAUUG
rnacentral:rRNA from 1 species